rnacentral:lncRNA from 1 species
AAAUAUUUGCAAAAAAAAUGAAUAAAUGUAAUGUUGGGUUGAUUUCGAGUUUGACCUUUUGUAGUUAAAACUAAAUCAAAUUAAUUUUGGUUAGAGUUUCUUUUCAGUAGAAAACUAAGUCACACCAAUUACUUAAUUAGUGAUCAUAUUUAAACAUAUUAAUGAGUAAAAUUACUUAAUUAAAGGUCAUAUUAAUAACAAAUACAAAAAAUGAAUUGUAAGUUAUCAAAUCGGUGUAACUUUGGAGUGUAAGAUUACAUUAUUAUAGUGCGAUUCUUUUUGGUUGUUGUUAGCUAGAGUAGACACAUAUGAAUUAUAUGGGGUUUGACGUGUGAUAGUGUCUAUCAUGUCUAAAGUGUUUUAAAUUUUGAUUGUGGCGUUUGAAAUAUUUUUGAAUUACAUUUAAAAAUUUAUUUAAAUAUAAUAAUUAAUAAAAUUAUUUAUUUAGAGGAAAAGUUCGUUACAAAUAUAUAAGUAAUGAUUCUUAAGUAAUCAAUUUGACUUACAUAGAUGUGUAAGACUACAACAUUAAUGUUUUCUGUUUAUCAUCCUUUAUUAAUGAGAUAAAUAAAUUACAAAUGCCUAUUUAAGUGGCACAAUACUUAAAUGACAAUAAUAAUUAAUUAAGGAUAAUAUAGUAAAAUUAUGAUUGAAGAAAUGAAGCGGACAUAUCUUAAAUGACUUACAAUAACUGAUUAAAAGUGAUAUAACAAAAUUACUAUAAAAAAUAUUUAUGAAAAAAUUUAAGUGGGAAUAUUAGACCCCAAGUUAAUUUAAAUCAUUAAGAGUUAAUUUAUCAUUUUAAAUCUAUUUUACUUUUAUGUUAAAUAUUAUUAUCAUUUUCAUACUUAGAUGACUUAUAAUAAUUAAUUAGAAGUGAUAUUUAGCAAAAUGAAGGUUGAAGCAGUUAAAGUAGACAUGUCAUAAAUGUUUAUCUUUUUAAUUAAAUAUUAUUAAUUUUUUAAUACAUAAAUAACUUAUAAUAAUUAAUUAGGGGUAAUAUAGUAAAAUUACGGUUGAAGCAGCUGACAAGUAUGGCGAAAUUGCAAAAAUUUAAGUGGGUCUAAUAUAAGACGUCAAGUUAAUUUAAAACAUCAAGGGUUAAUUUAUCAUUUUAUGUCUAAUUUAUCUUUUUUUUAAAACAUCAAAUGUUAAUUUAUAAUUUUAUGUCUAUUUUAUCUUUUUUAUUAAAUAUUAUUAACUUUUUAAUAUUUAGAUGACGUAUAAUAAUUAAUUAAGGGUGAUACUUAGUAAAAUGAUGGUUGAAACAGACAUAUCAUAAAUAUUUAUUUUUUAAAUUAGAUAUUAUUAAUUUUUUAAUACAUAAAUAUUUAUAAUAAUUAAUUAGGGGUGAUAUAGUAAAAUCAUUAUUGAAGCAGUUGAGAAGCAUGUCGAAACCGCUGCAUCUAUAAUAUAGAAAUUUUCCGUAGUUUAUUUGUAAAAUUUCAAUUUAUAUAGAUAUUAGACAUCAACAAGCCAGUGCUAUUUCUUCUCUUAAUUUAUGUGAUAUAGAUAUAAUUUAGAUAAU